AUUGAACGCUGGCGGCAGGCCUAACACAUGCAAGUCGAGCGGAUGAAGGGAGCUUGCUCCUGGAUUCAGCAGCGGACGGGUGAGUAAUGCCUAGGAAUCUGCAUGGUAGUGGGGGAUAACGUCCGGAAACGGGCGCUAAUACCGCAUACGUCCUGCGGGAGAAAGUGGGGGAUCUUCGGACCUCACGCUAUCAGAUGAGCCUAGGCCGGAUUAGCUAGUUGGUGGGGUAAAGGCCUACCAAGGCGACGAUCCGUAACUGGUCUGAGAGGAUGAUCAGUCACACUGGAACUGAGACACGGUCCAGACUCCUACGGGAGGCAGCAGUGGGGAAUAUUGGACAAUGGGCGAAAGCCUGAUCCAGCCAUGCCGCGUGUGUGAAGAAGGUCUUCGGAUUGUAAAGCACUUUAAGUUGGGAGGAAGGGCAGUAAGUUAAUACCUUGCUGUUUUGACGUUACCAACAGAAUAAGCACCGGCUAACUUCGUG
rnacentral:rRNA from 1 species